CAGACAAGAAGGUAAUUAUUCUUUUCCCCAGCAACUUAAUCCAUAAAAGAUACUCCUAAGAAACCUAGGAAAAGUGGAUUUGGGGAUAGAAAAUACUAUUGAAUAAAAUAAUUGCAGUUUUUCCUGGAGAUCUCUCUGGCUCUUUGUGCUAGUUUUGGCUAGGGUAGAGUUAAUUCACAGUCACUCCUACCAGGCUGUGUUUUGGAUUUGUGCUGGAAACAGUGUUAAUAACACAAGGAUGUUUUUGUUACUGCUGAGCAGUGCUUACACACUCAAGGCCUUUUCUGCCUCUCACCCCACCCCACAAGUGAGUGGGCUGCGGGUGUGUAGUGGGUUUCUGUGGCUAGUUUCAGUAGCAGGGUUGCUACAGGGGUGACUUCUGUUAGAAGCUGCCCAUGUCUGGUGGAGCCAAUGCCAGCCAGCUCGAGGACAGGCUUCCUGCCGCUGGCCAAGGCCAAGUGAAUUAGGAGUGACAGCAACGCCUCCGUGAUAACAUAUUUAAGAACAGAAAGUUAUUGUGCAGAUAAAAAUUCCAGCAAUGGAAGAGCGGAGUGAGAACAUGGGAAUAACAAUGUAGACACCAAGGUUGGUACAGAAGGAGGGGGAGGAGGUUCUCCAGGCGCUGGAGCUGAGGCCCCUGCAGCCCGUGGCACAGACCACGGUGGAGCAGCUGUGCCCCUGCAGCCCAUGGAGGACCAUCGGGUUGCAGAGACCCACCUGCAGCCCGUGGUGGAGUCCAUGCCGGAGCGGGUGGAUAUCCAAAGGAGGCUGUGACCCUGUAGGAGGCCCAUGAUGGAGCAGGGUCCUGGCAGAGACCUGAAACCUGUGGAGAGGAAAGCCCACGCUGGAGCAGGUUUUUCCCAGGUCAUACAAAAAUGCCUGCAACCUACUAGAAAACAGAUGUCCAGGAAUCUUCUACUGAUGUGGCAAAACUCAGUAAAAGAUGUUUCUAUUAGUAUGAAUGGAAAGGAAAUAUGAACACAAGGGUACAAAAUAGCAAGAGGAGGAGAGCUAUAAAAACGGCUGACACAUGCCGUAGAGAGCCAUCAAGAUCCUGGCACACAUCUACCUACAGUCCUCAGGACAGCUGGAAUCAGAAGUGGUGAAUAAAUCCUACUGACUCACAGUAGGAUUUGGGACAUUUGACUCCUGACACAUCAAUCAGACUCAUCCACAACUGGUACACUCCUAAUAAGAACCCUGAAAGUGGGGGUUUGAUUUGAAAGAUUUGAAAACUGGUGCUGCUUGUCAUUUCAAGCCACCCUGGAGAGCCUCCCUGGGUACAGAUGUCGAUGCCUGCCUACUGUCAGACUACUUACAUGCAUUUUAGUUCUUGUUAUAUUAAAAUGUGAGUAUUAGGGGCUGAAUCAGUUGUGUUUUAAAAUAAAUCAAUAUUUCCAUUCUGUGAGAUAGUGCACUUGAGAUACUGCAUCAACCUUCAUUAAUGCCAUGGACAUAAGAACAAACAAGUACACACAGCCUCAUCUGUACAGUGCAGUUUUCCCCCAGGCAGCUGGAGGCUCUGCACAGUUGUGAACAAGGGGAACUCUGCAUUACCUGCCCCAUAUAUCUGAAACUGAUGUGGAAAUUAAAUUUUCUGAUUCACGAACCAUUGAA